rnacentral:rRNA from 1 species
UACGGGGGGGGCAAGCGUUGUUCGGAAUUACUGGGCGUAAAGGGCUCGUAGGCGGCCAACUAAGUCAGACGUGAAAUCCCUCGGCUUAACCGGGGAACUGCGUCUGAUACUGGAUGGCUUGAAUCCGGGAGAGGGAUGCGGAAUUCCAGGUGUAGCGGUGAAAUGCGUAGAUAUCUGGAGGAACACCGGUGGCGAAGGCGGCAUCCUGGACCGGCAUUGACGCUGAGGCGCGAAAGCUAGGGGAGCAAACGGG